GAUGAACGCUGGCGGCGUGCCUAAUACAUGCAAGUCGAGCGAACAGAUGAGGAGCUUGCUCCUCUGACGUUAGCGGCGGACGGGUGAGUAACACGUGGAUAACCUACCUAUAAGACUGGGAUAACUUCGGGAAACCGGAGCUAAUACCGGAUAAUAUAUUGAACCGCAUGGUUCAAUAGUGAAAGACGGUUUUGCUGUCACUUAUAGAUGUAUCCGCGCCGCAUUAGCUAGUUGGUAAGGUAACGGCUUACCAAGGCAACGAUGCGUAGCCGACCUGAGAGGGUGAGCGGCCACACUGGAACUGAGACACGGUCCAGACUCCUACGGGAGGCAGCAGUAGGGAAUCUUCCGCAAUGGGCGAAAGCCUGACGGAGCAACGCAGCGUGAGUGAUGAAGGUCUUCGGAUCGUAAAACUCUGUUAUUAGGGAAGAACAAAUGUGUAAGUAACUAUGCACGUCUGGACGGUACCUAAUAAGAAAGCCACGGCUAACUACGU
rnacentral:rRNA from 1 species